rnacentral:sRNA from 1 species
AUCUUUUUAAUUAGAAACACAUUCCCAUUAAUUAUUAGAGCAUCUCCAUUUGAAGUAUCUCAAUAAGAUACCCAAUAAAAAAAAAAAAUAAUUAAAGAAGAAAAAGUAUGAUAGAAGGAAAAAAAAGUAGAAGAGAAGGAGAGUUGAAUUUCUCUUCCGAGAAACUUUGAGAAACUAUUCUCAUCCAAUUUGGACAAGUGUCAUCAUACUAUUAAUUCAAUUAUUAAAUAAUAAUUAAUGUAUCUGUUUUAAUUAAAAUA